AGCUUCUUCCGGCUAGCUGGGGGACGCCGAGGCUGCGGAGUGCACGCCUGGGCUCCGUCAGAGGGCCGCGCCCGCGCGACGACCGCGUGCCCGCUAGUGGGAGGCGGGCGAGGACCCCUGGGGGUGUCCCUCCCUGACCCAGGCGGGAGGAGGGGACGCCUUAGGCUGUUUUGUAAAAUGUGUCGGUGUGACCCUUCCGGCGAUGGCUCCUGACUCGACGUGGUAUUGAGCCUGAGCUAUAUGCUAGUUUCUGCUGGAAACGCUGACUCUGCCUCUUAGCCCCUGGGUUGAAGCCGACUAGAGAAUCUCAGACGUGCUUAACCGGUCUGUUGGGCUUCCCUGCCCUUUUCCAGUCCCAGGUUUCCUUUCCCUGCUCCCUUCCUGCUUCUAAUUUCAGCCAAAGAGAAAGCAAAGAUUUAGAAAAGAAGGGUAGGAAGAAGCUGGAAUUUGAAUUGGCAAGAGAAGUUUGAGGUUGUCUUUUCUAGAUCAAAACAAUUUUUAAUAGGCUGAUGUUCACAUGUUGCACUUUCUAAAGCCCGUGCUUGACCUCCUAAGGAAUUUUAAGUCCUAUUCUGAUAAUCGAUUUAUGAAGUAAAUUGUCAUUAACGCCUCUGUUUUAUAGAUUAAGAAGAAAAUGAGGUCACAGAUAAAUAUCGUGCCAAAACGACGUGGUCUUUGAACUGACCUCCAGGCACGAUGUCAUUAUUUAACUCGAGAAAUCACAGCUUCUGCGUCCUACCAUUCUGCCAAUAUUCACAGCCAAGAGGCUCAACUUAACACCCUGGUAGAAAAAGAGAAGCCUUUAAUAUUGCUUGAAUAGGGAAGGAGAGGGAAUAAUGGAACUAACCUUGCUGGGAGGGAAAAAAAAAAAAAAAGAAAAAACCAACAGACCACUGAAUGAAGCCUAUGAAGCAAUGAAUGGAGUGCUUUUUGGAAAGCACUUCCAGAUCUUUUGAAAAGCAGCACAAAAUUAAAUAUUAUUUGCAAAUCAGUUAAUGAAUAGGAAAAUGUUUUGUAAAGUAUAAUGCAUUAUAUAAUGUAAUAUGAUAUUUCUAUCCCAAAUAUAUUUGGUUUUUUAUUAUGUGUGUGUGUGUCUCUCGAUGGUGCAGCAGCACGGUCAUGCCUACAGCUAAUAUAUGAGUAAUCACUAGUGAUAAUGCACUUACAAAGAACAUACUUUUCCAUCUUUCUAAACAUGAGGUGCUUUAUUUUCAGACAAUAUGGGAAACAUUCUCAGCGACAUGGGGUGAUAAAAGUGACUUUUUUUCUCUUUUUUGUUUGUUUUUCAAAAAUUAGUUUAGGGUCAGGCACACUGAUUUUAUGCCUGUAAUCCCAGCACUUCGGGAGACGGAAGCAGACAGAUUGCUUGAGCUCAGGAGUUUCAGACCAACCUGGACAACAUGGCAACAACUCGUCUAAAAAAAUAUUAGCUGGGUGUGGUGGCAUGCGCCUGUGUUCCUAGCUACUCAGGAGGCUGAGGUGAGAGGAUCACCUGAGCCCAGGGAGGUUGAGAAUGCAGUGAGCUAUGAUCUCACCACUGUACUCCAUCCUGGGUGACAAAAUGAGACCCUGUCUUUAAAAAAAAAAAAAAAAGUUUAAAACUGCUUAUUAAUGUUACAUGCUAAGACCUUCUUUACUGGAAUUCUCAUGUAGAAUCCUUUGAAUAAUAUAAUAGGCUCUCAUCUACAGCUGAGCUAGAUGGAUUAUUGGAAAAUCUGUGUACUCCCCUGCACAGUUCAUGAUAACUCCAUCACUGGGAUAAUACACUGGAGAACUUAAUUACUCCAAAAGAAAAUAAGCAGUGGGUGAGAGCUAACCAUGUAAGAAUACCCUUCACUAAUCUAGCAGCUUCCUAUACAUAGCAGUUCUGCUUACCCUGUCUGACCACUAAUUCCCAUCCGUUCAGCUCUUGUGCAUUAAUAUUCCCCCACCAUCUAUUUACUUUGAUCCCCAGCAAGACCUCAAAUCCAUUGGCCCUUCUUACUUUCUUAAUAUCAGUCAUUUCCCUAGCCUACUCGUUUCCAUCAAAACCCAACCUAAAGCCCAUGGUCCAACUUUACAAUCUUCCCUUUGCAAAUAUGCUUAACUUCUUCACCUUUC
rnacentral:lncRNA from 10 species